rnacentral:lncRNA from 1 species
AUGCAUAAGCCGUUUGGCGGUACAUAUACAAAACCUGAUGCAAGAGUAAAGUUGAUUCCGGCAGAAGACAUCACUUAUGUACGACAUGGAAAGCCUUUUGGUAGAACAGUUGGCUCAGCAAAGCUGCAGAAAAGACACUCCAGACGAAGUGUCACUCCUCCUCCGAGUUCGCGUAAAGUUUCUCUUGCGAGGUCAACACCACUUACUCAGAAGUCUACGCCACUGUUUACCUCCAAGGCCAUGCCACCGCUUAAUCACAAGGCUUCAGCGCCUUUUACUCAUAAGGCCACAGCAUCUCUUAAUCACACGGCCAUGGCACCUCUUACUCACAAGGCCGCGGCUCCUCCUACUCACAAGCCCACGACGCCGCCCCUUUCUGGUUCAUCGUGUCUUUCUCCUAAGAGAGUUGAGACAGCUCACAAGGCCACAGGACUUCUUAGUCCCAAGCAUGCUACACCACCCUUGCCUGUUGCAUCGUGUCUUUCUCCCAAGAGAGUUGAGACAGCUCACAAGGCCAUGGGGCCUCUUAGUCCCAAGCCCACUACACCACCCUUGCCUGUUGCAUCGUGUCUUUCUCCUAAGAGAGUUGAGACAGCUCACAAGGCCACGGGACCUCUUAGUCCCAAGCCCACUACACCACCCUUGCCUGUUGCAUCGUGUCUUUCUCCUAAGAGAGUUGAGACAGCUCACAAGGCCAUGGGACCUCUUAGCCCCAAGCCCACCACACCUCCCCUGCCGGUUGCAUCGUGUCUUUCUCCUAAGAGAGUUGAGACAGCUGAAAACAGGCAACCAUUUUCUCUCAAUCGGCCAUCACCACUCUACAAGGCUGUCCAGAGAGGUGCAUUUCCUCCAUCUGUUUCACGGAAAGAGUCAGAGAUGAAUCCCAUCAAUCCUAGUUCUGUGCAUGUUCCUCCUGCAUAUUCAAGGAAGGUUCCUCUUGAUAGAAAGGCAGAACCUUCUUCUAAGAGUGUCAGCACACUUGACAACAAAAAGUUAUGCUCUACAAGCAAUCAGGCUGCACUUAGAUGUCAACCUACAAAAAGAGAUGCAGAUCCUAUUGUGGAAAAAGAAAAUACUGUGAAGCUUCCAUUAAUGAGCCCAACAUCUGUGCUUAGUUCAAGUUCCACCGAGGUAUGUCCAGAUACUGGAUCAAGGUCUGCAUCCAGACUAAAUUUGUUUGAUGAAAAAUGCAAGCUGGACUCACCGCAGCCUGAAACAAACAUACCUCAAGCAAAAAGCCCAGAGUCUACAACUCCAGCCCCAUAUGCUCAACUUUCCAAUGAUUUGAGAGCUGUUUCCUCCACUAAGAUCAUUGUCAGGAAUGAGAGACAAACGAACCAGGAACCAUCAAUUACUUGUAACAUCUCUUCAGGUAUAGUUAUCAUCCUGAAAGUAAUACAUUGCAGAAUCCUGAUGCAUGAUUUAGC